rnacentral:rRNA from 1 species
CGACCGGCGCACGGGUGAGUAACACGUAUCCAACCUGCCGAUGACUCGGGGAUAGCCUUUCGAAAGAAAGAUUAAUACCCGAUGGCAUAGUUCUUCCGCAUGGUAGAACUAUUAAAGAAUUUCGGUCAUCGAUGGGGAUGCGUUCCAUUAGGUUGUUGGCGGGUAACGGCCCACCAAGCCUUCGAUGGAUAGGGGUUCUGAGAGGAAGGUCCCCCACAUUGGAACUGAGACACGGUCCAAACUCCUACGGGAGGCAGCAUG